AGUCGAGCGAACGGACGAGAAGCUUGCUUCUCUGAUGUUAGCGGCGGACGGGUGAGUAACACGUGGAUAACCUACCUAUAAGACUGGGAUAACUUCGGGAAACCGGAGCUAAUACCGGAUAAUAUUUUGAACCGCAUGGUUCAAAAGUGAAAGACGGUCUUGCUGUCACUUAUAGAUGGAUCCGCGCUGCAUUAGCUAGUUGGUAAGGUAACGGCUUACCAAGGCAACGAUGCAUAGCCGACCUGAGAGGGUGAUCGGCCACACUGGAACUGAGACACGGUCCAGACUCCUACGGGAGGCAGCAGUAGGGAAUCUUCCGCAAUGGGCGAAAGCCUGACGGAGCAACGCCGCGUGAGUGAUGAAGGUCCUCGGAUCGUAAAACUCUGUUAUUAGGGAAGAACAUAUGUGUAAGUAACUGUGCACAUCUUGACGGUACCUAAUCAGAAAGCCACGGCUAACUACGUGCCAGCAGCCGCGGUAAUACGUAGGUGGCAAGCGUUAUCCGGAAUUAUUGGGCGUAAAGCGCGCGUAGGCGGUUUUUUAAGUCUGAUGUGAAAGCCCACGGCUCAACCGUGGAGGGUCAUUGGAAACUGGAAAACUUGAGUGCAGAAGAGGAAAGUGGAAUUCCAUGUGUAGCGGUGAAAUGCGCAGAGAUAUGGAGGAACACCAGUGGCGAAGGCGACUUUCUGGUCUGUAACUGACGCUGAUGU
rnacentral:rRNA from 1 species